AGGCACUGCCUUUGAACCAGAUGUGUCUUCUUAUGUAGCUUCUUCAGCAGCCAAGCAACAGUGGUAGAGCAUAAGGGCUUGUUAUUACCGGGGCUCUUCAGCUUUCAACUGAACUGUUCUUUUAAAAACAAGGUGCAUCU
ensembl:snoRNA